rnacentral:tRNA from 1 species
ACUAUUUUGGCAGAUUAGUGCAAUAAAUUUAGAAUUUAUUUAUGUGAUUUUUGUCACAAAUAGUAC